CACGUAGGGGGGCGAGCGUUGUCCGGAUUUAUUGGGCGUAAAGAGCUCGUAGGCGGCUCAGUAAGUCAGGUGUGAAAACUCCAGGCUCAACCUGGAGACGCCACCUGAUACUGCUGUGGCUAGAGUCCGGUAGGGGAGCAUGGAAUUCCUGGUGUAGCGGUGAAAUGCGCAGAUAUCAGGAGGAACACCAACGGCGAAGGCAGCACUCUGGGGCCGGUACUGACGC
rnacentral:rRNA from 1 species